GCGUCCCGAUCACGUCUUAUUCCUAUUUUACCCAACCCAAAUUAGUUUUUAGAAACCUUAAUCUCAGUGAUGGAAUUCAAUUAGGACCAAGAACUCCUCUUGUUUAGCAUUCGAGAUCUUUAGAGAAUUAGGAAUGUAGAGGCUUUUCUUUCGCAUUUCGAAAGAGAACGCACCAAUUGAUAUAUCAAAUAGAUAUGGGAUGUAAAGUUUCUCUAAGUAAAUAACUUCAAUAUGAGCGAGACAGGCAUAGACAGAAUCGCCCAUCCGAUUUUCUUUUCUUUUCUUUGAGUUAAAUUAUUGUGAUCUAUGUUCCCAUCCUACCGGGAUCGCAAAUAGAUUAGAUUCGCUUACAUCCGUGUCUUGUCUUAUUUGAACUCCGUUUAGUUUGUGAGAAAGAAAUGAUUCAGAGAGAAAUCGUUAGAAAUCAGAAAGACGGAUCGCAUUGUAUCCAACAUUACACUUGUUCUUAAAGAGAAGAUUGUUAAAGAAAACAAUCCUUAUUCUGAUUGAAUUGGUCUGCUCUGGGACGGAAGGAUUCGAACCUCCGAGUAGCGGGACCAAAACCCGAUGCCUUACCGCUUGGCCACGCCCCAUUUCGAUUUCUAUUCGACACUAAUAAACAUUAAUAUCGAUGUUGGUUGUUCGUCAAUUCCAGUCCAAAUAUGUAUGGAAUAGAUUAGAUUGUUGCUAGGAUUUGAUACACGUAGAUGUAGAAUUAAACUGAAUUUAUUGAUCAUUACAUAUAAUUCAAUUAAGAUAUUAUAGGAAAGUAUCAUUCCUUCUAUUCUCAUUUGAGAAUUGAAGGAUUUUUGAUUGGGCGAGUUUAAAGAAAAAGAAGGAUUUUUAAAUUUAUCUUAUUGUUUCAUUUUUCCCUUAUCUUAUAUUAAUAACUCAAUCAAAAUACAAUUAUUUCCAAGAACGAAAUGCUUGUUAUGCUUAAAAUCUUUGCUUUGAUCUGUUUUCAUUCUACCCUUCACUCGAGUAGUUUUUUCUUUGCCAAAUUGCCCGAGGCUUACGCUUUUUUCAAUCCAAUCGUAGAUGUUAUGCCAGUCAUACCUGUGUUUUUUUUUCUCUUAGCCUUUGUUUGGCAAGCUGCUGUAAGUUUUCGAUAAGAUCUCUUUAGUCCUACAAGCAUUCAUGAUUUAUUCGAAAAAAAAAAUUAUAACAAUUGAUAAGAUUAGAUAAGUCUUACAUUAUAUUAUGAACCCUCGAUUGAAACAUUGAAACUGUUGGAUAGCAGCAAUAAGUCUGGAUCACCUCAUUUCCCCAUUCUGACCUUCUACUUCCAGUAAACAAGGACCUAUUAGGGUCCCCCACAAUAUCUUUAUCUAAUUGUGGGUAUGUAUGAAAGAGAAUUUUGGUAACGAAAGAAUCUUAUUACAACUGAAUUUCUGCGAAUUCCUUUCUUUUCUAGAAACUACUUGAUUUCUUGGUUUCAAAAUAGGAUAUGUGGUAUAAAAAUAGAUAAUCUAUUCCCCCUUUCCCCCCAAAAAGAUCUUGGAGAUUGUAAUGCUUACUCUCAAACUCUUCGUUUACACAGUAGUGAUAUUUUUUGUUUCGCUCUUCAUCUUCGGAUUCCUAUCUAAUGAUCCAGGACGUAAUCCUGGACGCGAGGAAUAAAAGAAUAAAAAGGGGGAUUUCUCGGUUUCCUUGCUUGAUUUAUGAAUUUUCUUAUGAUUUUAUCUAUUCGACACAUUUACAUUUAACCAUAACCAUGAACACAUUUAAUUAUGAUAAAAAGAACGCGAGAUUUUUCUUUCGAAUUCGAAAGAAAAAUCUCAAGUCAUUAAAGAAAACGGAAAGAGAGGGAUUCGAACCCUCGGUACGAAUAACUCGUACAACGGAUUAGCAAUCCGCCGCUUUCGUCCACUCAGCCAUCUCUCCUAAUUGAAAAAGAAUUCGACUUACUAUGUUACAGUUACACAUGAAGUAAAGAUUAAUACUUAAUAAAAGUUUUUCAAAUUCUAUUAUAUUAAUAUAUAUUAUCAUCAUUAUUAAUUUCAAUAUUUAUUAUUAAUAAUUAUUAAUUAAAUCUAUUUAAUUUCAUUUUAAUAUAUUUAAUAUAUAUAUUUUAUUUAUUUAUUGUAUAGAUAAGAUAGAAAAUUUAUUUACAAAUUUUAUCAGCAAUUCCAAUUCUAUUUCGAUAACGUAAGGACUCAAAAGGAAUAUGUUCAAUAGAAAAAAAAAAGAAUAAAGAGUAAAGAAUACCUCUUUGAUUUCAGGUCCUUUUUUUUAUUAUUCCCUCGGCCUGGCCUGGUCAAUACCUAGCCGGGUCCUCUUUCUUUUUUUGUUCCAAUGAAUCAUAGAUCAAAUGAUUUGAUUUAUCUGAUUUAAAAACAAAAAUACUUGUUAUGGGAACAAGAACAACUG